CAUGUCUUUUUGAUUAUAAUUUAAAGUCUGACCUGCCCCCUGAUGAAUAUUAAAUGGCCGCGAUAACCUGAUCGUGCAAAGGUAGCAUAAUAAUUAGUUUUUUAAUUGGGAACUGGUAUGAAAGGUCGAACGAAAAAAAAUCUGUCUCAAUUUAAUUUUAAUUAGAAUUUUAUUUUUAAGUAAAAAAGCUUAAAUAAUUUUAAAAGACGAGAAGACCCUAUAGAGUUUUAUAUUUAUUAAUUUAUUUUUUAGUUUAAGAAUUUAAUUUUAGAAUUAUUUAUAAAAUAUUUAGUUGGGGUGAUUGAAAAAUUUAAUAAACUUUUUUUUUAUAUUAACAUUAAUGUAUGAUUGAUUGAUCCAUUAUUUAUGAUUAAAAGAUUAAAUUACCUUAGGGAUAACAGCGUAAUUUUUUUUGAGAGUUCUUAUCGAAAAAAAAGUUUGCGACC
rnacentral:rRNA from 1 species